GACGAACGCUGGCGGCGUGCUUAACACAUGCAAGUCGAGCGGUAAGGCCCUUUCGGGGGUACACGAGCGGCGAACGGGUGAGUAACACGUGGGUGACCUGCCCUCAGCUCUGGGAUAAGCCUGGGAAACUGGGUCUAAUACUGGAUAUGACUCCACGGUGCAUGUCGUGGGGUGGAAAGCCUUGUGCGGCUGAGGAUGGGCCCGCGGCCUAUCAGCUUGUUGGUGGGGUGAUGGCCUACCAAGGCGACGACGGGUAGCCGGCCUGAGAGGGCGACCGGCCACACUGGGACUGAGACACGGCCCAGACUCCUACGGGAGGCAGCAGUGGGGAAUCUUACGCAAUGGGCGAAAGCCUGACGCAGCGACGCCGCGUGAGGGAUGAC
rnacentral:rRNA from 1 species